AUUUACAAGAACCAAAUUGAUUUUUUUUUCUUACAAAAGUCAGGCAACUUCCAAAUUAAGUCACUUUUUACCAUAUACCCUGGAGAAUAACAUGGCCCGACACACCACACGUCCCACUUAUCUAGUUCAAGCGAGUAACAUAACGUGAGAAACUGCACUGUGUAAUUCCUUUAUUUUCUGCAUAUUAGUGCUUUACCAACACUACAACCAUAAAGAACACAAUUCCAAGUACUGUACUUUUUAGUUUGGGGAGAUCACAGUCUACAGACUCAUUUACUUAUAUUAAACAAGAUUAACCUCAUUCAAAACUUACUGCAGUUUAUUUAAGAUUUAACAUGAGGGUUUCAAGUUUCCUCCAGUUUAGGCAUUUAUACCUUUGUGCUUGUUUUGUUUCAGGAUGUUACUAUAGCAUUGAUAUUGGAUAACCCAUAUUUAUAUACUUUAAAAUGCAAUCAUUUGAAACACUAAAAAUUACAUUUAUGGUGGAGCUUUGGAAAUUUUAGAAAGCAACCAGUGUUCUUAGAUGUGUUUAUCAGCCUCAUUUCUAGAGCUCUUUCUACUAAAGUGAAACUGAGAACUUCGUACUUUAGUUGUAUCCUGAAAUCAAAAAAAUCCCUCUGCACCAACAGGAGCCUACAUGAGAAUACCCUUUUGCAUCUGCUUUAAGUAAAAUGUUUGUUAAGAGUUUUACUUUGAAUAGUUCAUUUUUUUAUAGUCUUACACUUCUCAUACAUCUUUGGUAAAAGCUCCAUUAUACAAUAUGGCCAAAGUGUGAAGGACCAAUACUGUCCAACUAUACCAUGAUAUCCCGCUCAAUUUUAGUUUUCAGACACCCUCAUAAACAAAACCCACUCCACCUUUUCCUGUAUACUGCCUUUGCAGUCUACAUUUCUGAAAUUCCCUAUUUAAUUCCUUGAGGAUCACUAAAAUUAAUCCUUAAGGCUAUAUAGGAACCAGAUGCUGCUUUACAAUUCUGCAUCAAGCAUUAACAUUUGGUUCAAAAUAUUAUCAUAGUGGUCGCAAUCCAGUUACUGGUCCUAACCAGCUAACCAAGUAAUCUUGUUAGGAUCUGGAUAUCACCAGCGAGCACACUGCUUACACAUGAAGAAAAAUAAGUUUACAUUCAUUGUCAUCUGUAGGUUCUUUCUCUUCAUCCUACGUCCCCUUUAAUAGUCAUCCCUCAAGUCUACACAUCAUUCAUUCAUCACGCUUCCUUCCUUAAAGGAGACAGUGUACUAUUGAACCAACAGGAUAUCUUUUUUAUUAUUUGCAUGAGUUAAUCCUACAAACAAAAUUAAAUACCUCUUUUAUAAAACAUCUUUUCCAGUGUUCUAAUUGAUGGAGAUGCGGAUCACUCAUCUAUAAAAAAUGACUUACAGCUUCAGCUUAAUCAGUUGCUAUAAUGUGAAAACAGGAAUGUGUAUUUUUUUCAACUAGGUAAAAGGUGCAUAUAAUUUGAAUUGUUAAAUGUUUUAUUAAUGAACAAAGUAAACCUUUUAGUAAUUUUUAAAUUACUGGUCUUAGGUGUUUGAAACAAGGUAAAAGUAUACAUUCCAGUUUUGCCCAAAAGUCACUUAAAAUAUCUACAAAUUAUUUAAUCUGUGUGUGGUAACACCAUUAUUGCUCCAAUUUCUGGAAAGAGUCUAUUUUCAAAGUUUAAAAAAGAGGAAAAACAGCAAAGUGGCUAACUUUGCAGUGGAAAGAAAAAGUGUCCUUCAUGGGUUACACUUUCAUAUUUUUAUGCAGCAUUAAGUUAUCUACGUUAUGGGGAACUUGGGUUUUAUUCCUACUCAUGCAUGAUGUGUUUCAGAACUUACUUGCUGACAUUUCAGAGAACUUCUUACAUUACCUGUUUAACAUACUGAGGUGCAACUGGAACAUAUUACAAUAUUACUCAUUAUUUGCCACUGUGGGCUAAGUUUACUAUACUGGUCUUAGAUAUAAAAGGUCACAUUUGAAAUUACUAAGUUAGAACUCAUAAGGAAGGGGGGGGAAGGCCUUAAAUAUAAAAGACAAACGGCAGUUUGAUUAAGCAAUAAUUUUCAGUUUACUAGAUGAAACAGACUUGCAACAUAGUCUGCAUGAAUGCAAAAUAAG
rnacentral:lncRNA from 1 species